AUUGAACGCUGGCGGCAGGCCUAACACAUGCAAGUCGAACGAGUGGCGGACGGGUGGGUACUGUCUGGGAAACUUCCUGAUGGAGGGGGAUAACUACUGGUAACGGUAGCUAAUACCGCCUACCAUCGGAUGUGCCCAGAUGGGAUUAGCUAGUCGGUGGGGUAAAGGCUCCCCUAGGCGACGAUCCCUAGCUGGUCUGAGAGGAUGACCAGCCACACUGGAACUGAGACACGGGCCAGACUCCUACGGGAGGCAGCAGUGGGGAAUAUUGCACAAUGGGGGCAAGCCUGAUGCAGCCAUGCCGCGUGUAUGAAGAAGGCCUUCGGGUUGUAAAGUACUUUCAGCGGGGAGGCGUUACCUGCAGAAGAAGCACCGGCUAACUCCGUGCCAGCAGCCGCGGUAAUUC
rnacentral:rRNA from 1 species